UACGGGGGGGGCAAGCGUUGUUCGGAAUCACUGGGCGUAAAGGGCGCGUAGGCGGCUCAUGAAGGCUGUGGUGAAAGUCCGGGGCUCAACCUCGGAUCGGCCGUGGCGACUCGUGGGCUGGAGCACUGUAGAGGCGGGUGGAAUUCCGGGUGUAGCGGUGGAAUGCGUAGAGAUCCGGAAGAACACCAGUGGCGAAGGCGGCCCGCUGGGCAGUGGCUGACGCUGAAGCGCGACAGCGUGGGGAGCAAACAGG
rnacentral:rRNA from 1 species